rnacentral:rRNA from 1 species
UGGGGAAUUUUCCGCAAUGGGCGAAAGCCUGACGGAGCAAUACCGCGUGAGGGAGGAAGGCUUUUGGGUUGUAAACCUCUUUUCUCAAGGAAGAAGAUCUGACGGUACUUGAGGAAUCAGCAUCGGCUAACUCCGUGCCAGCAGCCGCGGUAAUACGGAGGAUGCAAGCGUUAUCCGGAAUGAUUGGGCGUAAAGCGUCUGCAGGUGGCUAUGCAAGUCUGCUGUUAAAGAGUGGAGCUCAACUCCAUAAGGGCAGUGGAAACUGAAGCACUAGAGUACGGUAGGGGUAGAGGGAAUUUCCAGUGUAGCGGUGAAAUGCGUAGAGAUUGGAAAGAACACCAGUGGCGAAGGCGCUCUACUGGACCGUAACUGACACUCAGGGACGAAAGCUAGGGGAGCGAAAGGGAUUAGAUACCCGUGUAGUCC